GCCCUGUUAGUCUAGUGGUCAUGACGUUGGAUUUUGAUCACAUGAUACAUCCUUCCAAAAUCCCCGGUUCGAACCCGGGACGGGGCU
rnacentral:tRNA from 1 species